rnacentral:tRNA from 1 species
GCCUCCGUAGCUCAGGGGUAGAGCGUUUGCAUGGUAAGCAAAAGGUCGCGAGUUCGAUUCUCGCCGGAGGCU